UACGUAGGGGGCAAGCGUUGUCCGGAUUUAUUGGGCGUAAAGAGCGUGUAGGCGGUUAUACAGGUCCGCUGUGAAAACUGGAGGCUUAACCUCCAGACGUCGACGGAAACCGUGUGGCUAGAGUCCGGAAGAGGAGAGUGGAAUUCCUGGUGUAGCGGUGAAAUGCGCAGAUAUCAGGAAGAACACCAAUGGCGAAGGCAGCUCUCUGGGACGGUACUGACGCUGAGACGCGAAAGCGUGGGGAGCGAACAGG
rnacentral:rRNA from 1 species